AGUGAACGCUGGCGGUAGGCCUAACACAUGCAAGUCGAACGGCAGCACAGUGAGAGCUUGCUCUUACGGGUGGCGAGUGGCGGACGGGUGAGGAAUACAUCGGAAUCUACUUUUUCGUGGGGGAUAACGUAGGGGAACUUACGCUAAUACCGCAUACGACCUACGGGUGAAAGCAGGGGAUCUUCGGACCUUGCGCGAUUGAAUGAGCCGAUGUCGGAUUAGCUAGUUGGCGGGGUAAAGGCCCACCAAGGCGACGAUCCGUAGCUGGUCUGAGAGGAUGAUCAGCCACACUGGAACUGAGACACGGUCCAGACUCCUACGGGAGGCAGCAGUGGGGAAUAUUGGACAAAGGGCGCAAGCCUGAUCCAGCCAUACCGCGUGGGUGAAGAAGGCCUUCGGGUUGUAAAGCCCUUUUGUUGGGAAAGAAAAGCAGCAGGUUAAUACCCCGCUGUUCUGACGGUACCCAAAGAAUAAGCACCGGCUAACUUCGUG
rnacentral:rRNA from 1 species